rnacentral:rRNA from 1 species
GACGAACGCUGGCGGCGUGCUUAACACAUGCAAGUCGAACGAUGAACCCGGAGCUUGCUCCGGCGGAUUAGUGGCGAACGGGUGAGUAACACGUGAGUAACCUGCCCUUGACUCUGGGAUAACUGCGGGAAACUGUAGCUAAUACCGGAUACGACCCUCGGCGGCAUCGCCAGGGGGUGGAAAGAAUUUCGGUCAAGGAUGGACUCGCGGCCUAUCAGCUAGUUGGUGAGGUAACGGCUCACCAAGGCGACGACGGGUAGCCGGCCUGAGAGGGUGACCGGCCACACUGGGACUGAGACACGGCCCAGACUCCUACGGGGGGCAGCAGUGGGGAAUAUUGCACAAUGGGCGCAAGCCGGAUGCAGCAACGCCGCGUGAGGGAUGACGGCCUUCGGGUUGUAAACCUCUGUUAGUAGGGAAGAAGCGCAAGUGACGGUACCUGCAGAAAAAGCACCGGCUAACUACGUGCCAGCCGCCGCGGUAA